rnacentral:rRNA from 1 species
CAGCAGCCACGGUAAUACGUAGGGUGCGAGCGUUGUCCGGAAUUAUUGGGCGUAAAGAGCUUGUAGGUGGUUUGUCGCGUCUGCUGUGAAAAUCCGAGGCUCAACCUCGGACUUGCAGUGGGUACGGGCAGACUAGAGUGUGGUAGGGGAGACUGGAAUUCCUGGUGUAGCGGUGGAAUGCGCAGAUAUCAGGAGGAACACCGAUGGCGAAGGCAGGUCUCUGGGCCAUUACUGACACUGAGAAGCGAAAGCAUGGGGAGCGAACAGGAUUAGAUACCCGCGUAGUCCCUGUCUCUUAUAA